rnacentral:rRNA from 1 species
AUUGAACGCUGGCGGCAGGCCUAACACAUGCAAGUCGAACGAGUGGCGGACGGGUGAGUUAUGUCUGGGAAACUGCCCGAUGGAGUGGGAUAACUACUGGAAACCGUAGCUAAUACCGCAUACCAUCAGAUGUGCCCAGAUGGGAUUAGCUAGUUGGUGGGGUAACGGCUCACCAAGGCGACGAUCCCUAGCUGGUCUGAGAGGAUGACCAGCCACACUGGAACUGAGACACGGUCCAGAGUCCUACGGGAGGAAGCAGUGGGGAAUGUUGCACAAUGGGCGCAAGCCUGAUGCAGCAAAACCGCGUGUAUGAAGAAGGCCUGCGGGUUGUAAAGUACUAUCAGCGGGGAGGCGUUACCCGCAGAAGAAGCACCGGCUAACUCCGUAACAGCAGCCGCGGUAAUAC